ACUGCAGUCGAGCGCGGGAAGCCGGCGGACUCCUUCGGGAGGAAACCGGUGGACCGAGCGGCGGACGGGUGAGUAACACGUGGGCAACCUGCCGGACUGAUGGGAAUAACCCCGGGAAACCGGGGCUAAUGCCCAAUACGCCCUGACCUCGCCUGAGGUCAGCGGUAAAGCAGGGAUCUUCGGAUCCUUGCACAGUCCGAUGGGCCCGCGGCGCAUUAGCUAGUUGGAGAGGUAAGGGCUCCCCAAGGCGACGAUGCGUAGCCGACCUGAGAGGGUGAUCGGCCACACUGGGACUGAGACACGGCCCAGACUCCUACGGGAGGCAGCAGUAGGGAAUCAUCCGCAAUGGGCGAAAGCCUGACGGUGCAACGCCGCGUGAGUGAUGAAGGUUUUCGGAUCGUAAAGCUCUGUUGACAGGGAAGAACCCACGCCAGUCGAACAGGCUGGCGUGCUGACGGUACCUGUCCAGAAAGCCCCGGCUAACUACGUGCCAGCAGCCGCGGUAAUACGUAGGGGGCAAGCGUUGUCCGGAAUUAUUGGGCGUAAAGGGCACGCAGGCGGUUUCGUCAGUCCGAUGUGACAGGCCACGGCUCAACCGUGGAAGGCCAUUGGAAACUGCGAAACUUGAGGACAGAAGAGGAGAGUGGAAUUCCACGUGUAGCGGUGAAAUGCGUAGAUAUGUGGAGGAACACCAGUGGCGAAGGCGACUCUCUGGUCUGUACCUGACGCUGAGGUGCGAAAGCAUGGGGAGCAAACAGGAUUAGAUACCCUGGUAGUCCAUGCCGUAAACGCUGAGUGCUAGGUGUUAGGGGUUUCGAUACCCGUAGUGCCGAAGCUAACGCAUUAAGCACUCCGCCUGGGGAGUACGACCGCAAGGUUGAAACUCAAAGGAAUUGACGGGGGCCCGCACAAGCGGUGGAGCAUGUGGUUAAUUCGACG
rnacentral:rRNA from 1 species